UACGGAGGGUGCGAGCGUUGUCCGGAAUCAUUGGGCGUAAAGGGCGCGUAGGUGGCGGGACAAGCGUGCGGUGAAAGCUCGGGGCUCAACCCCGAGUCGGCCGUGCGAACUGUUUUGCUUGAGCACUGUAGAGGCAGGCGGAAUUCCGGGGUGUAGCGGUGGAAUGGCGUAGAGAUCCGGAAGAACACCGGUGGCGAAGGCGGCCUGCUGGGCAGUAGCUGACACUGAGGCGCGACAGCGUGGGGAGCAAACAGG
rnacentral:rRNA from 1 species